UGUGGCAAAGGAGAAAAAAAAAUUGAACAGAAUGAAAGAAAUGUAUUGAACUUCUUAGAUUCUACAAGGUUCAAAGCUGGUUGGGAAUUUGAGGUAUCUGUAAUUCAGAAGACGUGUUCUAUCGGCAGCUCAGGAUCUCAGCCCAGGAGAAUGUCAAUGAAAAGAGUUGAGCUCAGUAAAAUAUUUGAAGAGAUUCAUUCUGAGCCAAAUAUGAGUGAUCAAUGGCCCGUGACACAAUCCUAGUAGAUCCUGAGAAUGUGCAACCAAAGUGGUUGGGUUACAGCUUGGUUUUACACAUUUUAGGGAGACAUAAGACAUCAACUAUAACAUGUAAGAUUGGCGGGGUGUGAUGGCUCAUGCCUGUAAUCCCAGCACUUUGGGAGGCCGAGGAGGCAGAUCACAAGGUCGGGAGAUCAAGACCAUCCUGGCUAACACAGUGAAACACUGUCUCUACUAAAAAUACA
rnacentral:lncRNA from 10 species